rnacentral:rRNA from 1 species
CAGUAGCCGCGGUAAUACGGAGGGUGCAAGCGUUACUCGGAAUCACUGGGCGUAAAGGACGCGUAGGCGGAUUAUCAAGUCUCUUGUGAAAUCUAACGGCUUAACCGUUAAACUGCUUGGGAAACUGAUAAUCUAGAGUAAGGGAGAGGCAGAUGGAAUUCUUGGUGUAGGGGUAAAAUCCGUAGAUAUCAAGAAGAAUACCUAUUGCGAAGGCGAUCUGCUGGAACUUAACUGACGCUAAUGCGUGAAAGCGUGGGGAGCGAACGGGAUUAGAUACCCGGGUAGUCCCUGUCUCUUAUAC